AUUGAACGCUGGCGGAAUGCUUUACACAUGCAAGUCGAGCGGCAGCACGGGGGCAACCCUGGUGGCGAGCGGCGAACGGGUGAGUAACACAUCGGAACGUACCCUGUCGUGGGGGAUAACGAGUCGAAAGAUUCGCUAAUACCGCAUACGACCCGAGGGUGAAAGCGGGGGAUCGCAAGACCUCGCGCGACUGGAGCGGCCGAUGGCGGAUUAGCUAGUUGGUGGGGUAAAGGCCCCACCAAGGCGACGAUCCGUAGCGGGUCUGAGAGGACGGCCCGCCACACUGGGACUGAGACACGGCCCAGACUCCUACGGGAGGCAGCAGUGGGGAAUUUUGGACAAUGGGGGGCAACCCUGAUCCAGCCAUUCCGCGUGAGUGAAGAAGGCCUUCGGUUGUAAGCUCUUUCGGCAGGAACGAAAGGACGUCUCUCUAACAUAGGGGUCGAAUGACGGUACCUGAAGAAGAAG
rnacentral:rRNA from 1 species